rnacentral:rRNA from 1 species
AAGUCGUACGAGAAUCGUAGCAAUACGAGGAAAGUGGCGAAAGGGAGAGGAUUACGUGGGAAUCUACCCUCAGACCUGGGAUAGCGGCGGGAAACUGCCGGUAAUACCAGAUAAUGUCUUUGGACCAAAGGUGUGAUUCCGUCUGGGGAUGAGCCCACGUCCUAUUAGCUUGUUGGUGGGGUAAUGGCCUACCAAGGCAAUGAUGGGUAGCGGGUGUGAGAGCACGACCCGCCUCACUGGGACUGAGAUACUGCCCAGACACCUACGGGUGGCUGCAGUCGAGAAUCUUCGGCAAUGGGCGAAAGCCUGACCGAGCGACGCCGCGUGCGGGAUUGAAGGCCUUCGGGUUGUAAACCGCUGUCGUAGGGGAGCAAGAGAAGAGGGUUCUCCCUCUAAUUUGAGCGAUCCUAGGAGGAAGGACGGGCUAAGUUCGUGCCAGCAGCCGCGGUAAGACGAACCGUCCGAACGUUAUUCGGUAUCACUGGGCUUAAAGAGUUCGUAGGCGGCUCCGUAGGUGAGGUGUGAAAUCCCUCGGCUCAACCGAGGAAUUGCGCUUCAAACCGUGGAGCUAGAGGAAGAUAGGGGUGAGCGGAACAGAUGGUGGAGCGGUGAAAUGCGUUGAUAUCAUCUG